AAUGAACGCUGGCAACAGGCCUAAAACAUGCAAGUCGAACGCCCUAGCAAUAGGGAGUGGCGCACGGGUGAGUAACAUGUGGGAAUAUGCCUUUUGGUACGGAACAACGUUUGGAAACGAACGCUAAUACCGUAUGGUCCCUCCGGGGUAAAGAUUUAUCGCCAAAAGAUUAGCCCGCACUAGAUUAGCUAGUUGGUAAGGUAAUGGCUUACCAAGGCGACGAUCUAUAGCUGUUCUGAGAGGAAGAUCAGCCACACUGGGACUGAGACACGGCCCAGACUCCUACGGGAGGCAGCAGUUAGGAAUAUUGGACAAUGGGCGCAAGCCUGAUCCAGCCAUGCCGCGUGAGUGAUGACGGCCUUAGGGUUGUAAAGCUCUUUUGUCCGGGACGAUAAUGACGGUACCGGAAGAAUAAGCCCCGGCUAACUUCGUGCCAGCCGCCGCGGUAACAC
rnacentral:rRNA from 1 species